rnacentral:tRNA from 3 species
GCGGGAAUAGCUCAGUUGGUAGAGCGCAACCUUGCCAAGGUUGAGGUCGCGGGUUCGAGUCCCGUUUCCCGCUCCA